GGUUAAGCGACUAAGCGUACACGGUGGAUGCCUAGGCAGUCAGAGGCGAUGAAGGGCGUGCUAAUCUGCGAAAAGCGUCGGUAAGGUGAUAUGAACCGUUAUAACCGACGAUACCCGAAUGGGGAAACCCAGUGCAAUUCGUUGCACUAUUGCAUGGUGAAUACAUAGCCAUGCAAGGCGAACCGGGGGAACUGAAACAUCUAAGUACCCCGAGGAAAAGAAAUCAACCGAGAUUCCCCCAGUAGCGGCGAGCGAACGGGGAGGAGCCCAGAACCUGAAUCAGCAUAUGUGUUAGUGGAAGCGUCUGGAAAGUCGCACGAUACAGGGUGAUAGUCCCGUACACAAAAAUGCAUAUGUUGUGAGUUCGAUGAGUAGGGCGGGACACGUGACAUCCUGUCUGAAUAUGGGGGGACCAUCCUCCAAGGCUAAAUACUCCUGACUGACCGAUAGUGAACCAGUACCGUGAGGGAAAGGCGAAAAGAACCCCGGCGAGGGGAGUGAAAUAGAACCUGAAACCGUGUACGUACAAGCAGUGGGAGCACCUUCGUGGUGUGACUGCGUACCUUUUGUAUAAUGGGUCAGCGACUUAUAUUUUGUAGCAAGGUUAACCGAAUAGGGGAGCCGUAGGGAAACCGAGUCUUAACUGGGCGAAUAGUUGCAAGGUAUAGACCCGAAACCCGGUGAUCUAGCCAUGGGCAGGUUGAAGGUUGGGUAACACUAACUGGAGGACCGAACCGACUAAUGUUGAAAAAUUAGCGGAUGACUUGUGGCUGGGGGUGAAAGGCCAAUCAAACCGGGAGAUAGCUGGUUCUCCCCGAAAGCUAUUUAGGUAGCGCCUCGUGAACUCAUCUUCGGGGGUAGAGCACUGUUUCGGCUAGGGGGUCAUCCCGACUUACCAAACCGAUGCAAACUCCGAAUACCGAAGAAUGUUAUCACGGGAGACACACGGCGGGUGCUAACGUCCGUCGUGAAGAGGGAAACAACCCAGACCGCCAGCUAAGGUCCCAAAGUCAUGGUUAAGUGGGAAACGAUGUGGGAAGGCAUAGACAGCCAGGAUGUUGGCUUAGAAGCAGCCAUCAUUUAAAGAAAGCGUAAUAGCUCACUGGUCGAGUCGGCCUGCGCGGAAGAUGUAACGGGGCUAAACCAUGCACCGAAGCUGCGGCAGCGACGCUUAGGCGUUGUUGGGUAGGGGAGCGUUCUGUAAGCCGUUGAAGGUGACCUGUGAGGGUUGCUGGAGGUAUCAGAAGUGCGAAUGCUGACAUAAGUAACGAUAAUGCGGGUGAAAAACCCGCACGCCGGAAGACCAAGGGUUCCUGUCCAACGUUAAUCGGGGCAGGGUGAGUCGACCCCUAAGGCGAGGCUGAAAAGCGUAGUCGAUGGGAAACAGGUUAAUAUUCCUGUACUUGGUGUUACUGCGAAGGGGGGACGGAGAAGGCUAGGCUAGCCGGGCGACGGUUGUCCC
rnacentral:rRNA from 1 species